GACGAACGCUGGCGGCGUGCCUAAUACAUGCAAGUAGAACGCUGAAGAGAGGAGCUUACUCUUCUUGGAUGAGUUGCGAACGGGUGAGUAACGCGUAGGUAACCUGCCUUGUAGCGGGGGAUAACUAUUGGAAACGAUAGCUAAUACCGCAUAACAAUGGAUGACACAUGUCAUUUAUUUGAAAGGGGCAAUUGCUCCACUACAAGAUGGACCUGCGUUGUAUUAGCUAGUAGGUGAGGUAAUGGCUCACCUAGGCGACGAUACAUAGCCGGCCUGGGAGGGUGGUCGGCCCACCUGGGACCGGGACAAGGCCCAGACUCCUUCGGGAGGCAGCCGUAGGGAAUCUUCGGCCAUGGGGGCAAACCUGACCGCGCCACGCCGCGUGAGUGAAGAAGGUUUUCGGAUCGUAAAGCUCUGUUGUAAGUCAAGAACGGGUGUGAGAGUGGAAAGUUCACGCUGUGACGGUAGCUUACCAGAAAGGGACGGCUAACUACGUG
rnacentral:rRNA from 1 species